rnacentral:rRNA from 1 species
CGUGUUCGAUAUGUCAAAAUGACUCUCGGCAACGGAUAUCUCGGCUCUCGCAUCGAUGAAGAACGUAGCGAAAUGCGAUACAUGGUGUGAAUUGCAGAAUUCCGUGAACCAUCGAGUUUUUGAACGCAAGUUGCGCCCGAAGCCAUUUGGUCGA